rnacentral:rRNA from 1 species
CGUGUAGGCGGUCAGGUAAGUGGAAUGUGAAAUGCCCCGGCUCACCCGGGGACCGGCAUCCCAAACUGCCUGGCUUGAGUAUGGGAGAGGAUGGAGGAAUUCCUGGUGUAGCGGUGAAAUGCGUAGAUAUCAGGAGGAACACCGGUGGCGAAGGCGUCCAUCUGGCCCAAUACUGACGCUGAGGCGCGAAGGCUAGGGGAGCAAACG